rnacentral:lncRNA from 1 species
CUCUGGGCCGAGGGGCGACCACGGGCUCUGGGCAGAGUGGGAACGAGCUCCCGCUGUGAGGUUCCUCUUCUGAGACAGUGAGUCUCGGGCUCCUCCCCAGCUUCCGCGGGUCUCCCCGCAGCCCCACCUGCCACUGGGCUUCCCGUUCCCUCUUCAGACCCAGGACGCCCAGACACCCCGGGUCUGAGAGAUGCGGCCCCUGAUGCUGCUGCCGCUGCUGUGGGCAGGGUCCCUGGCUCGGCACCUGAGCUACCGGCUGGACGUGCAGGAGACCGUGACGGUGCAGGAGGGCCUGUGUGUCCGCGUGCCCUGCUCCUUCUUCCAUUCUUGGAUCUCCUGGUCUGCGCCUGUUCACGGCUACUGGUUCCGCGAAGAGGCCACACCUGUUCCGGGAUGAUCCCGUGGCCACAAACAACCCAGCUCUUAAAGUGCGGGAGGAGACCCGGGGCCGAUUCCACCUCCUCUGGGACCCGCGGAACAAGAGCUGCUCCCUGGACAUCAGAGACGCACAAUGCCGUUUGGAAAUUAACUUCUAGAGAAAAAAAUCAUUUAUCUGAAAUGAGAGUUGCACUGAAUGAGACCAAGAGCAGAUUCAGUACUGUGGGAGAGUAAUCAGUGUGUUUGAAGGUGUAGCAGCAGCUCCUAUUGAAACUGCAGAAUCUAGAGAAAAAGGCUGGAAACGGUGAAGAGAUGCUCAGGGCCCUGCAAGAUAAUAUGCAGCAAUAUAACAUGCGUAAAAUUGGAGACCCGUGGAGUUCCCCUCGUGGCUGAGUGGUUAAAAAAUCCGACUAGGAACCAUGAGGUUGUGGGUUUGAUCCCUGGCCUCCCUCAGUGGGUUAAGGAUUUGGCCUUGCGGCGAGCUGUGGUGUAGGUCGCAGACGGGGCUCGGAUCCCACGUUGCUGUGGCUCUGGCGUAGACUGGCAGCUACAGCUCCGAUUAGACCCCUAGCCUGGGAACCUCCAUAUGCUGCGGGAGUGGUUCUAGAAAAGGCAAAAAAAAAAAAAAAAAAAAAAAAAAAUUGGAGACCCAGAGGAGAAAGAGAGGAAGAAUAGGAAAAAUAUGUAUGUAUUUGAAUAAACAGCAGCUUCAAUGUCGACA